rnacentral:rRNA from 1 species
AAACUGAAGAGUUUGAUCCUGGCUCAGAUUGAACGCUGGCGGCAUGCCUUACACAUGCAAGUCGAACGGCAGCACGGAGCUUGCUCUGGUGGCGAGUGGCGAACGGGUGAGUAAUAUAUCGGAACGUACCCUAGAGUGGGGGAUAACGUAGCGAAAGUUACGCUAAUACCGCAUACGAUCUAAGGAUGAAAGUGGGGGAUCGCAAGACCUCAUGCUCGUGGAGCGGCCGAUAUCUGAUUAGCUAGUUGGUAGGGUAAAAGCCUACCAAGGCAUCGAUCAGUAGCUGGUCUGAGAGGACGACCAGCCACACUGGAACUGAGACACGGUCCAGACUCCUACGGGAGGCAGCAGUGGGGAAUUUUGGACAAUGGGCGAAAGCCUGAUCCAGCAAUGCCGCGUGAGUGAAGAAGGCCUUCGGGUUGUAAAGCUCUUUUGUCAGGGAAGAAACGGUGAGAGCUAAUAUCUUUUGCUAAUGACGGUACCUGAAGAAUAAGCACCGGCUAACUACGUGCCAGCAGCCGCGGUAAUACGUAGGGUGCAAGCGUUAAUCGGAAUUACUGGGCGUAAAGCGUGCGCAGGCGGUUUUGUAAGUCUGAUGUGAAAUCCCCGGGCUCAACCUGGGAAUUGCAUUGGAGACUGCAAGGCUAGAAUCUGGCAGAGGGGGGUAGAAUUCCACGUGUAGCAGUGAAAUGCGUAGAUAUGUGGAGGAACACCGAUGGCGAAGGCAGCCCCCUGGGUCAAGAUUGACGCUCAUGCACGAAAGCGUGGGGAGCAAACAGGAUUAGAUACCCUGGUAGUCCACGCCCUAAACGAUGUCUACUAGUUGUCGGGUCUUAAUUGACUUGGUAACGCAGCUAACGCGUGAAGUAGACCGCCUGGGGAGUACGGUCGCAAGAUUAAAACUCAAAGGAAUUGACGGGGACCCGCACAAGCGGUGGAUGAUGUGGAUUAAUUCGAUGCAACGCGAAAAACCUUACCUACCCUUGACAUGGCUGGAAUCCUGAAGAGAUUUGGGAGUGCUCGAAAGAGAGCCAGUACACAGGUGCUGCAUGGCUGUCGUCAGCUCGUGUCGUGAGAUGUUGGGUUAAGUCCCGCAACGAGCGCAACCCUUGUCAUUAGUUGCUACGAAAGGGCACUCUAAUGAGACUGCCGGUGACAAACCGGAGGAAGGUGGGGAUGACGUCAAGUCCUCAUGGCCCUUAUGGGUAGGGCUUCACACGUCAUACAAUGGUACAUACAGAGCGCCGCCAACCCGCGAGGGGGAGCUAAUCGCAGAAAGUGUAUCGUAGUCCGGAUUGUAGUCUGCAACUCGACUGCAUGAAGUUGGAAUCGCUAGUAAUCGCGGAUCAGCAUGUCGCGGUGAAUACGUUCCCGGGUCUUGUACACACCGCCCGUCACACCAUGGGAGCGGGUUUUACCAGAAGUAGGUAGCUUAACCGUAAGGAGGGCGCUUACCACGGUAGGAUUCGUGACUGGGGUGAAGUCGUAACAAGGUAGCCGUAUCGGAAGGUGCGGCUGGAUCACCUCCUUU